GGGAGCGCGUGCCCGCGCAGCAGCUGACGUCCCAUUUUACAGUUACUCAGCCGUUUACUGAACCACUGCGUGUAUCCUCUCACACCUUCCCCAGCGUGGGGGAAUUCUACCCGGACAAGACUACAGAGACCACUGCCCUCUGAGGGUACUUAGCGUUCUUGGGAGAAGGGACAGUAGAACAUGAGAAGAUACUGUGAGGCUGUCUGCAGCGCAAUGCAGGGAAAUCAGUUCCCGUAGUCUCUGGGAGGGACUAGGAUGUGGGAGCUUGGAUCUGAGCCUGAGCAACGAGGACAAAGGAUGACAGUUUCCGCUGAGAAAAACGAAACCUUUAUCCAAGCAGUGGUUCAGAGCAUCUAUACCCUACUGGCUGGGAAGCCUUCCUCCAGGACCUUGACAACCUCCCUGGAAAGCUUGGGGAUGGUGCUAGUGUUGGUGUUGCUGGGUGGUUUCAAAGAGACUUGCUGUUCUCCUUUGCUCCACAUGCUUGGUGGGAAGAGGAUCCCAGGACUGAAUUAGCAUCCCAAAGCAAGAGGAGAUCUCCAGGACAAAUGUGCUGUGUCCCCUAGAACACUCAGAAUCCACUAUAGCCACAUAGCAAGUUUAAGAUCAGCCAGGGCUACACAAUGAGAUGCUGUCAGUCCCACGCACACUGCUAGUGUAAGGGGCUCUUAUUCCUCACCAGGCCUACAGCUCUAAGCUCAGACUCCAGCUCUGAUAGCCCUAGCUCUUUUCUAAGCAAAUGAUUGACUCCUCAGUGCAUGUCCCAUUGAGUUUGAGGCCCUUGUUUUAAAAGGAGAAAAUUGAGUCCCAGAAAGGAAA